rnacentral:lncRNA from 1 species
UAAAUAACUUCCAGCCUAGGAUUCUUCUUUUGCCUCACUCCUUUGGAUUAGAAUUACAGGUGUCUGCUCUUUCCCCAAUCUGUGGCAUGCUGGGGGGCAAAACAGCACCUCGUGCUGCCAGAGAAGCAGCCAGCCUAGUGCUGAGCUUCGUCCUCAGCUCCUACACAAGGUCUUCAAAGGCCACCGCAGAACAGAACAGAGGGCAGCAGAGACGGGCCUGGAAGAGAGCCCUGAAAGAAAGUCCCCACCAGAGGGGGCUUUUGCCUAUGUGUGUGCCUGUGCUCUUCCUGGAUGCCUGGUAUCUGAGGAGUCUAGAAGAGUGCAUCAGUUUCCCUGGAACUGAAGCUACAGACGGUUGUGAACCUCCAUGUGAGUGCUGAGAAUCUAAUCCUGAUCCUGUAGAG